CCAGAGCUUAACUCUGGAACUGCCAUCAAAACUUUUCAGCUAGAGUAUGAUAGAGGAAAGCAGAAUUUCUAGUGUAGAGGUGAAAUUCGUAGAUAUUAGAAAGAAUACCAAUUGCGAAGGCAGCUUUCUGGAUCAUUACUGACACUGAGGAACGAAAGCAUGGGUAGCGAAGAGGAUUAGAUACCCUCGUAGUCCAUGCCGUAAACGAUGUGUGUUAGACGUUGGAAAUUUAUUUUCAGUGUCGCAGCGAAAGCGAUAAACACACCGCCUGGGGAGUACGACCGCAAGGUUAAAACUCAAAUGAAUUGACGGGGACCCGCACAAGUAGUGGAGCAUGUGGUUUAAUUCGAAGAUACGCGCAGAACCUUACCAACACUUGACAUGUUCGUCGCGACUCUAAGAGAUUAGAGUUUUCGGUUCGGCCGGACGAAACACAGGUGCUGCAUGGCUGUCGUCAGCUCGUGUCGUGAGAUGUUGGGUUAAGUCCCGCAACGAGCGCAACCCUCACUUUUAGUUGCCAUCAUUUAGUUGGGCACUCUGAAAGAACUGCCAGUGAUAAGCUGGAGGAAGGUGGGGAUGACGUCAAGUCCUCAUGGCCCUUACGUGUUGGGCUACACACGUGCUACAAUGGCAUCUACAACAGGAAGCAAAACGGCAACGUUAAGCAAAUCCCGAAAAGAUGCCUCAGUUCGGAUUGCACUCUGCAACUCGAGUGCAUGAAGCUGGAAUUACUAGUAAUCGUGGAUCAGCGUGCCACGGUGAAUGCGUUCCCGGGUCUUGUACACACCGCCCGUCACACCAUGGGAGUUGGUUCUACCUUAAGGCAAGGUUUUAAACCCUUGACCACGGUAUAGUCAGCGACUGGGGUGAAGUCGUAACAAGGUAACC
rnacentral:rRNA from 1 species